GAAGCCCGGCGGAACAGAACGAAAGGACGAGGGGCGAUUGUCCCCAGCCCGGGGGCUUAGCCGCACAUCUCUUCCUCGAGCUGGACGCAGCGAGCUUUCACCUCCGUAUCCCCAACAGGGAGAGAGGAACCACCCCCGCACUGCUCUCCCCUGGUUCCAAAAUCUCACCCUCAUUGCAGGAGAGCGACCCUCACACAAAGCUGAGAGGGGCAUGAGAGCUGCAGCGAGGUUUGGCGGCCGGCAGAGUCACGUUACAAGGGCUGCAGGAGCAAUAGCUGGAGCUUAAUCAGAAAAGUGUGCAAAGAACUAAACUGUACGGAAAACUGAAAACAUCAGCUGCUGCCGGAAAGCAUGGGGAAAACCUUUCCCUAAAGCUAAACAGUCCAAAAGAUUCUAAAGAAAAGGAGCGCGGUGCCAACUCAUUAGCUCCGAGGAGUCCCGUAGCGAAGGAGGAACUGGGAUCAGAGUGGGACACUGUCACCUUUCCUCUGGGGAGCGGACGCCCGUCUGAAAACAAGCGGGAGAGAAAUAGAUAGCGGCGCUGGGUGUAAUGUGAUUACACCUAAGAUUAUAAUUACGCCCCGACUGUCGACUAUUUGGAUCACUUGACUGAAUUUUCAUUAAGAAGAGCGCUCUAUCUGAUCCAGCGCGGGACCCGGCCGCAUUUGUCGGCUUUUGGGGUGCGGGCAGAGGCCGCUCCCCCCGCACUGCCCUCCGGGGCCGCCCGCCGCCAGGCCCCGCUCCUCCGAGCGCCCGUCCCGAGUGCGGCUCAUCAGCGCUGAUUUAUGAGCCUUGUUAAACACUCAUUAUGACUUUGCACCUUUUUUCAGCAGGGUCUGGAAAACAACC
rnacentral:lncRNA from 1 species